rnacentral:rRNA from 1 species
CUUAACUGGGCGUUAAGUUGCAGGGUAUAGACCCGAAACCCGGUGAUCUAGCCAUGGGCAGGUUGAAGGUUGGGUAACACUAACUGGAGGACCGAACCGACUAAUGUUGAAAAAUUAGCGGAUGACUUGUGGCUGGGGGUGAAAGGCCAAUCAAACCGGGAGAUAGCUGGUUCUCCCCGAAAGCUAUUUAGGUAGCGCCUCGUGAAUUCAUCUCCGGGGGUAGAGCACUGUUUCGGCAAGGGGGUCAUCCCGACUUACCAACCCGAUGCAAACUGCGAAUACCGGAGAAUGUUAUCACGGGAGACACACGGCGGGUGCUAACGUCCGUCGUGAAGAGGGAAACAACCCAGACCGCCAGCUAAGGUCCCAAAGUCAUGGUUAAGUGGGAAACGAUGUGGGAAGGCCCAGACAGCCAGGAUGUUGGCUUAGAAGCAGCCAUCAUUUAAAGAAAGCGUAAUAGCUCACUGGUCGAGUCGGCCUGCGCGGAAGAUGUAACGGGGCUAAACCAUG